ensembl:lncRNA
AUGUCACUGGCUCUCUUCACCCCUUUCCCUGGAGAGGCAACUCUGGCUGGCAGUGUGCUAGGUGUUCCUACAUCUUGUAGUGGUGGCUGUUAUUUGUCUGGGUUUGGUGACUCCUUUCUCCUUCUCAAGUUACAACCCACAAAGGAAAAAUUUUAUGUAGCAACUGCUGGUCAGACUGCUAUACUUCCCUGGUCUCCAGAUGCAAAGGGAGGAUCCCUCACCACCUAUGCCUCAGAAGGAAGAUCCUUCCCCACCUAUUCCUCAGGGGUCGUAAGGGGCUGGUCCCCGACAUCUGGCGCCCAACAUGGGGCCCGAGCGACCACCGGACGACUGAGGAAAAGUUCGGCGCCGAAAUCGAGACUACAGUAACGGGUAGGGAUCGAACAAACGAUCCUGAGGAAGGGUAAGUCAUCCCAUUUAUAUCUCCCUCUCAAACCCCAUUGUGUGAAUGGUCGACUGUAUGUGUGUGUAUUAAUGGCAACGGAAUAACGGUCCCCUUAUAUAUACGAGUAAUAGGGCGCCCUUCGGGGAACCUGGCCGGGGCUUGUACGGCACGCCUACGCUCAAAUAUAAGGGACCCCUCUUUGAUCAAAGAGGAGAGGCCAAUUCGUGGAGAAUUGAUCUCGCGGUUCGACUGCCGUUGACCUGUUUCUGAGUGUUGACCUGGAAGUACUGCGUUUUCGUCCCUGCGCGAGCACGGCGGCCAGGAAACCAGGGAAGCGAGACUUAUGUGUGACUGAAAAUGGGGAAGACACUGUCUAAGGAAGCUCUGUUUAUAAAAGAAUUAAAAGAAAGAAUUAAAGAGCGCAAUGUAGAAGUUAAGAAAAGAGAUCUGUUGCGCUUCUUCUCCUUCAUUGAACAACGCUGCCCGUGGCUCAUUCUCCAUGGCCCUGGCAUUCACCCC